GCCUGGUAUAAACUUCUUUAUUUUUAAGUAAUUCUUCCAACUUCUCUACUUGGUGUUGUCGAAGAAAUUUCCUGCAUUUAAAAGAUGUUCCAAUAGUAUUCAACAAAUUAGUGACAACAUCAAAGAAAUUAUUCACUUCCAAUACUUUUUAGAAAGAGCUACAAGUGUUAAUUGUAAUUGAUGAGCAAAACAGUGAAUAUAAUAUGCAGAUGGAGAAUCUUGCAAAAUUAAAGUCUUUAGACCAUUUAUUUUUUCCUUCAUAUUACUUGCUCCAUCAUAACCCUGUCCACGUAUCUUGGAUGAACUUAAUGAGUUAUCCAAAAGUAAAAAAUAAAUUGCAUCCUUCAGUGAUUGUGCAUAUAUAUCUUUCACAUGGACAAUGCCCAAAUAUCUUUCUAUCACCUCCCCAUUUUUGUUGACAUAUCGUAAAACUAGGGCCAUUUGCUCCUUAUGUGAGAUGUCCUUUGAUUCAUCAACCAAUAUUCCAAAAUAAUCACCAUCUAAAUCUUUGAUAAUAGCUUUAGUGGUUUCUUUAGCACAAGCAUCCACAAUCUCCUUUUGAAUAGUUGGAAAAAUCAUCAUAUUAUUUUUUGGAGCAUGACGUAAUAUCACUUUUCCCACAUUCGGAUGCUUAUCUCCAUGAAAUUCCAAAAGUUCAAGAAAAAUACCUUUGUAUUCGGAAUCUUUACUCUUAUCAUGACCACGAAAUGGCAAUCCAUUUCUUAAGAGAAACCUCACUACAUCAAUUGAGGCAUUUAAGCGCAUUCGAUGAUCAUUUUUUACUUUCUUGCUUUGUCUGUCAAAAGACGAUUGAAUUGAUUGGCGUUGAUUCGUCAAAUCUUGCAUUCUAUUGAAACAUUUAUGAUGAAUACUAUAUACUUCACCGACAUGUGCUCUAUAUCUUUCUGAACCUUUAUUCCAACCCCUAAAGUCAUCUUUUGUAAAAGCAUCCCCGACAUGUCCACGACUCUCAAGUUCAUUCUUGAAUAAACAGCAACACAAAUAAAAUAUAAUAUCUACUUUUAUGCUAUACUCCAACCAUUGAGAAUAUGAACCUUUAAACCAAUCGGGAUUGAAUUGAUGCAUUUUGUUCCCAAACUUAGUUUUAGGGAAGUCAUGACCAAUCGGUUGAUAAGGCCCUCUUUGAAUAAAAUAUCUUCUCACUUCAUCUCGAAUGUUAGGACUAUACUGAGAAGUGGGUAUUCUUUCUUUAGGAUCAGUUUCAAGAGAUCCCAACCUAAGAACACUAUUAACAUUUGAAGGAGGGGAAGGAAUUGCUUCUCUUUGAUCUUCUGGAUCUAUUUGUUAAUUAGCAGAUGGUUGACACGAACUAGAACUUGGUUGGCCAUUGUUUAACUUGAUCAAGUAUCUAUCCAUUUUGAUGUUCGGAAAAAUUAUUCCUAUAAAAUUAAAUACUCGCAUUUAUUCAAUCUUAGACCAUAUCCAUUUUAUAAAUUGAAAUCACUCUUAAUCAUAACAAUUCACGAAAAGGGAAAUCACACCCCUUUAGAUUUCAUUAUUCAAUAAGGGAAUCACACAUUCACACCCCUUUCGCAUUUAAAUAUAAGAGGAUCACGAAUCACGAACACUUACAAAUUCACAAUAUAGUAGGGGAAUCACACCCCUUCUAACUUACAAUAAUAUAAAAUGAAACCAUACCAGUUCGUCCGCAAAAUUUAUAAUAGUUUAUCUUAAUCAACUUAAUGUCUCUGUGACUCUGCCCAAGUUUCGAACUUUGGAAGCGAGUUUCAGUGUUUCACAAUGUAAUCUGUCAAAUGACACACAAAAAAAAAUAGUACACUGCAGGUUAAUAGGAUUCCAAAAAUUAGAUGAACAAUGAAGCAAAAAAUGAGGAAAAUAGAAAAAAAUUAUAAAGAUGAAAGCAAAUAAAAUAACUAAGAUUAACAACAAAAUAAGAAAUAAAAAAUAUACCUGCUUAAGGAGUAAAAAAAACUUGGAAAAUCCUUGAGAAAGAGAGCAAAUAAGAUUGAAGAAUCACUGAUAACAGAGAUUCUAAAAUACCAUUCUGGAAUUGCGAGAUUAUAGCGAAGUGAAUCGAGAGAAGAAAGAGGAUCCGGUGAUUUGUGGUUUAGAACUAGAUUAAGAGAGAGGGAGGGAGGAAGAGGGAGACACAAUUGACUUUUGGGGUUUUGGCGUGAAUUGG
rnacentral:lncRNA from 1 species